AACGCACCUUGCGCUCCCUGGUAUUCCGGGGAGCACGCCUGUUCGAGCGUCAUGAAGCUCUCAAAUAGCCUCUUUUCUUGAUUGCAAAGAUGGAUGUUUGGAUUUGGGCUCUGCUGUGUAACAAACAGCUGGUCCGAAAGAUAUUAGCUGAUCCUAGCAAGACUUGGUUCUACUCGGCGUGAUAAUUAUCUGACGUUGAGGACAUCGCAAGAUGGCCAGUUGAAACUAUGUGGAUUGCUUCUAAUCGUCUUCAUCGACAACUUUACUAUCAAUCUGACCUCGAAUCAGGCGGGACUACCCGCUGAACUUAA
rnacentral:misc_RNA from 1 species